AGCGAACGCUGGCGGCAGGCCUAACACAUGCAAGUCGAACGAACUCUUCGGAGUUAGUGGCGGACGGGUGAGUAACACGUGGGAACGUGCCUUUAGGUUCGGAAUAACUCAGGGAAACUUGUGCUAAUACCGAAUGUGCCCUUCGGGGGAAAGAUUCAUCGCCUUUAGGGCGGCCCGCGUCUGAUUAACUAGUUGGUGGGGUAAUGGCCCACCAAGGCUACGAUCAGUAGCUGGUCUGAGAGGAUGACCAGCCACAUUGGGACUGAGACACGGCCCAAACUCCUACGGGAGGCAGCAGUGGGGAAUCUUGCGCAAUGGGCGAAAGCCUGACGCAGCCAUGCCGCGUGGAUGAUGAAGGUCUUAGGAUUGUAAAAUCCUUUCACCGGUGAAGAUAAUGACUGUAGCCGGAGAAGAAGCCCCGGCUAACUUCGUGCCAGCAGCCGCAGUAACAC
rnacentral:rRNA from 1 species